GUCCAGUAGUAGACGGAGUACACAAUCUCUCUCUCUCAAGUAUUGAUCUCAAAUCUAGUUUCUCGAGACAAUUACCGAGAGAGAGAGAUUGUGUGCUCCAUCUCCUCUCGGAC